rnacentral:rRNA from 1 species
UGGCUCAGAACGAACGCUGGCGGCAGGCCUAAAAACAUGCAAGUUGAACGGGCGUAGCAAUACGUUAGUAGCGGACGGGUGAGUAACAUAUGGGAACAUGCCCUUUGGGUGGGGGAUAGCUUCUGGAAACGGGAGGUAAUACCGCAUAAGCCAUGAGUGGGAAAUAUUUAUAGCCGAAGGAGUGGCCCAUAUCAGAUUAGCUAGUUGGUUAGGUAACGGCUGACCAAGGCGACGAUCUGUAGCCGGUUUGAGAGGAUGAUCGGCCACACGUGGGACUGAGACACCGGCCCAGACUCCUACGGGAGGCAGCAGUUAGGAAUAUUGGACAACGGGGAAACCUUGAUCCAGCCCAUGCCGCGUGAGUGAAGAAGGCCUUCGGGUUGUAAAGCUCUUUUGUAUGGGAAAAUGAUGAUGGUACCAUAAGAAUAAGCACCGGCAAACUUCGUGCCAGCAGCUGC